UACGGAGGGUGCGAGCGUUAAUCGGAAUUACUGGGCGUAAAGGGUGCGUAGGUGGUGCAUUAAGUUAUCUGUGAAAUACCUGGGCUUAACCUGGGCAGGUCAGAUAAAACUGAUACACUCGAGUAUGGGAGAGGGUAGUGGAAUUUCCGGUGUAGCGGUGAAAUGCGUAGAGAUCGGAAGGAACACCAGUGGCGAAGGCGGCUACCUGGCCGUAAUACUGACACUGAGGCACGAAAGCGUGGGGAGCAAACAGG
rnacentral:rRNA from 1 species